rnacentral:tRNA from 1 species
GGGCGAUUAGCUCAGAUUGGUUAGAGCGCUACCUUGACAUGGUAGAGGUCACAGGUUCGACUCCUGUAUCGCCCACCA